rnacentral:rRNA from 1 species
AAACUCAAAGGAAUUGACGGGGGCCCGCACAAGCNGGGGAGCAUGUGGUUUAAUUCGAAGCAACGGGAAGAACCUUACCAGGUCUUGACAUCCUCUGACAACCCUAGAGAUAGGGCUUUCCCCUUCGGGGGACAGAGUGACAGGUGGUGCAUGGUUGUCGUCAGCUCGUGUCGUGAGAUGUUGGGUUAAGUCCCGCAACGAGCGCAACCCUUGAUCUUAGUUGCCAGCAUUCAGUUGGGCACUCUAAGAUGACUGCCGGUGACAAACCGGAGGAAGGUGGGGAUGACGUCAAAUCAUCAUGCCCCUUAUGACCUGGGCUACACACGUGCUACAAUGGACGGUACAAAGGGCAGCGAGACCGCGAGGUUCAGCAAAUCCCAUAAAACCGUUCUCAGUUCGGAUUGCAGGCUGCAACUCGCCUGCAUGAAGCUGGAAUCGCUAGUAAUCGCGGAUCAGCAUGCCGCGGUGAAUACGUUCCCGGGCCUUGUACACACCGCCCGUCACACCACGAGAGUUUGUAACACCCGAAGUCGGUGAGGUAACCUUUUUGGAGCCAGCCGCCUAA